AGUCACUGACAUUAGAUACCCGCGUAGUCCCAGCCGUAAACAAUGUGCGUUAAGGUGUGUCGGUAACCACGCGUUACUGAUGCGCCGAAGAGAAAUCGUGAAACGCACCACCUGGGAAGUACGGUCGCAAGGCUGAAACUUAAAGGAAUUGCGGGGAGCACCACAACAGGUGGAGCCUGCGGUUUAAUUGGAUUCAACGCCGGACAUCUCACCGGAUAAGACAGCUGAAUGAUUGUCAAUCUGAAGGUUUUACAUGACUAGCUG
rnacentral:rRNA from 1 species